rfam:Habropoda laboriosa contig28959, whole genome shotgun sequence.
CAAUCGGCCCCUUUCGGGGCCCCACAUUUUUAAACGUAGGAACAA